GGCCAGACUCCUACGGGAGGCAGCAGUGGGGGAUAUUGCACAAUGGGGGGAACCCUGAUGCAGCGACGCCGCGUGGGUGAAGGAGCGUUUCGGCGCGUAAAGCCCUAUCGGCAGGGAAGAAGGAGGACGGUACCUGACUAAGAAGCCCCGGCUAACUACGUGCCAGCCGCCGCGGUAAUACGUAGGGGGCAAGCGUUAUCCGGAAUUACUGGGUGUAAAGGGGGCGUAGGCGGCGAUGCAAGUCAGAAGUGAAAGCCCGGGGCUCAACGCCGGGACUGCUUUUGAAACUGUAUGGCUAGAUUGCAGGAGAGGCAAGUGGAAUUCCUAGUGUAGCGGUGAAAUGCGUAGAUAUUAGGAGGAACACCAGUGGCGAAGGCGGCUUGCUGGACUGUAAAUGACGCUGAGGCUCGAAAGCGUGGGGAGCAAACAGGAUUAGAUACCCUAGUAC
rnacentral:rRNA from 1 species